rnacentral:lncRNA from 1 species
AUGCCCUAUGGUCACCUUUUGGGGCGCCGCGAGGGUCUCCCUCAGGUGCGGUCAAUGCAAGAGGGGUACUGCCCCUCAGGGUCCCGGAGCCCGGCCUCUCUCCCGCCGCCACCACCACAUCACGCGCCCACACUCUACGAAUACUCGUGUCCCUCCCCUCCCACCCCCGAAGCCCGAUGCGCGGACCCAGGUCUUACCCGUGAGAGGCGCAGGGAGCGCGGCCCCGGAGCAGGCGCGGUCCCGGGAGCCUCCCGAGCGGGGCUCCCCGGGCGCUCGGCUCUGCUGGCCGCCUCCUCUUCGUUGUCCUCGGCCCGGCCCCGGCCGCCCGGCGGCUCCAGUUCCCUCCGCAGCAGCCGGCCGGGCGGCACCGGGGUGCACGCGGCGGGGUUCGGCUUCGGCGCCCCCUCCUCCUGCUGCCCGUCGCCGACUUGGCGCUCGCGGGCUCGGGGUCCGCGGUUCCGGGACGCGGGGGUCGUCGGAGUGCUCGGGCUGCCCCGCGCUCCCUCCCGCGCGCAGCCCCUCUCCGGAGGGCGCCUCGCUCGCGGGCGUCACGGGCUCGGGGCGCGCGGGGACGGCGGUGGGGUGGGCCCCGGGGCGGCGGGCGGGGGCGCUGCUGCGGACGCGGGCACUGAUGCGAGCGCCGCGGCGCGGCCUCUCGCCAUGGCUCCCCCGCGGGCGGGCGGUUCGCACCUCCCCUCCGCGCUGCCGUCACCGCCCGACGCGCGCCGAGCCCUCCCCUUCCACUGCCCCGCCCGCCUGCCGGCCUGCGCCGCCACCUGCGGGCCGCCCUCCAGGAAGCUCGCCCGGCUGAGCGCGCCCCAGGAGCCAGAAGCGGCGCCCCUCCGCCCUGCUACCGCGGCCCUUGGCCAGCCUGCGCUUUUACCUGAGCCGCGGGGCUCGGGAAAGUACCCCGAGGACUACCUGGGUGGGGAAAAGCUAUCACACCGCUCCCCGCGCGCUUAUUUCCUUCUAGCGCUUUUCGGAGUCCGUCUAGGGUCAGUCUAA